rnacentral:rRNA from 1 species
UACGUAGGGGGCUAGCGUUGUCCGGAAUUACUGGGCGUAAAGCGUGCGCAGGCGGCUUUGCAAGACAGAUGUGAAAUCCCCGGGCUCAACCUGGGAACUGCAUUUGUGACUGCAUGGCUAGAGUGCGGCAGAGGGGGAUGGAAUUCCGCGUGUAGCAGUGAAAUGCGUAGAUAUGCGGAGGAACACCGAUGGCGAAGGCAAUCCCCUGGGCCUGCACUGACGCUCAUGCACGAAAGCGUGGGGAGCAAACAGG